rnacentral:rRNA from 1 species
GAACUGAAGAGUUUGAUCAUGGCUCAGAUUGAACGCUGGCGGCAGGCCUAACACAUGCAAGUCGAGCGGAUGACGGGAGCUUGCUCCUUGAUUCAGCGGCGGACGGGUGAGUAAUGCCUAGGAAUCUGCCUGGUAGUGGGGGACAACGUUUCGAAAGGAACGCUAAUACCGCAUACGUCCUACGGGAGAAAGCAGGGGACCUUCGGGCCUUGCGCUAUCAGAUGAGCCUAGGUCGGAUUAGCUAGUUGGUGAGGUAAUGGCUCACCAAGGCGACGAUCCGUAACUGGUCUGAGAGGAUGAUCAGUCACACUGGAACUGAGACACGGUCCAGACUCCUACGGGAGGCAGCAGUGGGGAAUAUUGGACAAUGGGCGAAAGCCUGAUCCAGCCAUGC